GAUGAACGCUGGCGGCGUGCCUAAUACAUGCAAGUCGAGCGAACGGACGAGAAGCUUGCUUCUCUGAUGUUAGCGGCGGACGGGUGAGUAACACGUGGAUAACCCACCUAUAAGACUGGGAUAACUUCGGGAAACCGGAGCUAAUACCGGAUAAUAUUUUGAACCGCAUGGUUCAAAAGUGAAAGACGGUCUUGCUGUCACUUAUAGAUGGAUCCGCGCUGCAUUAGCUAGUUGGUAAGGUAACGGCUUACCAAGGCAACGAUGCAUAGCCGACCUGAGAGGGUGAUCGGCCACACUGGAACUGAGACACGGUCCAGACUCCUACGGGAGGCAGCAGUAGGGAAUCUUCCGCAAUGGGCGAAAGCCUGACGGAGCAACGCCGCGUGAGUGAUGAAGGUCUUCGGAUCGUAAAACUCUGUUAUUAGGGAAGAACAUAUGUGUAAGUAACUGUGCACAUCUUGACGGUACCUAUUCAGAAAGCCACGGCUAACUACGUG
rnacentral:rRNA from 1 species